GUAGGGAAUAUUGCACAAUGGGGGAAACCCUGAUGCAGCGACGCCGCGUGAGUGAUGAAGGCCUUCGGGUCGUAAAGCUCUGUCGUAUGGGACUAACACAAUGAAGGUACCAUGCAAGAAAGGAUCGGCUAACUUCGUGCCAGCAGCCGCGGUAAGACGAGGGAUCCUAGCGUUGUUCGGAAUCAUUGGGCGUAAAGCGGGUGUAGGCGGAUUUAUAAGUCAGGUGUGAAAUCCCAGGGCUCAACCCUGGAAGUGCACUUGAUACUGUAAAUCUUGAGUGUGGUAGAGGUUACUGGAAUUGUUGGUGUAGUGGUGAAAUACGUAGAUAUCAACAGGAAUACCGGAGGCGAAGGCGAGUAACUGGGCCAACACUGACGCUGAGACCCGAAAGCGUGGGGAUCAAACAGGAUUAGAAACCCGGGUAGUCC
rnacentral:rRNA from 1 species